rnacentral:rRNA from 1 species
CCUACGGGUGGCUGCAGUGAGGAAUAUUGGUCAAUGGCCGUAAGGCUGAACCAGCCAAGUCGCGUGAAGGAAGAAGGAUCUAUGUUUUGUAAGCUUCUUUUAUAGGGGAAUAAAGGUAUCCACGUGUGGGUAUUUGCAUGUACCCUAUGAAUAAGCAUCGGCUAACUCCGUGCGAGCAGCCCAGGUAAUACGUAGGAUGCGAGCGUGAUCCGGAUUUAUUGGGUUUAAAGGGUGCGUAGGUUGUUGUUUAAGUGAGCGGUGAAAGUUUGUGGCUCAACCAUAAAAUUGCAGUUGAAACUGGAAGACUUGAGUGUGUUUGAGGUAGGCGGAAUGCGUGGUGUAGCGGUGAAAUGCAUAGAUAUCACGCAGAACUCCGAUUGCGAAGGCAGCUUACUAAGCCAUAACUGACACUGAAGCACGAAAGCGUGGGGAUCAAACAGGAUUAGAUACCCUUGUAGUC